UACAGAGGUCUCAAGCGUUGUUCGGAUUCAUUGGGCGUAAAGGGUGCGUAGGCGGCUCGGUAAGUCGGAUGUGAAACCUCCAGGCUCAACCUGGAGACGCCAUCUGAUACUGCCGUGGCUUGAGUCCGGUAGAGGAGCAGGGAAUUCCUGGUGUAGCGGUGAAAUGCGCAGAUAUCAGGAGGAACACCAGCGGCGAAGGCGCUGCUCUGGGCCGGUACUGACGCUGAGGAGCGAAAGCGUGGGGAGCGAACAGG
rnacentral:rRNA from 1 species